ACACUCCCCAACAGUAUCUUCUUACCUAUCCCUUGAUAUUUUCCUCACAAUCCCACAAAAUGUCCUGAACUUGUCAUCUGAUCCAGCAUGCUAGUAAUAAGCUGCACUAGUAGCCUCACUCCCACUUUUAAGUUUAUUUUGAGACUGGAUCUUGCUAAGUCAGAAGACUUUCAGGUAUCCUUUCUCCUUUAUUCUUAUGUUUCAGGGAUCACACUAAGAAGGUCAGGCUUGUGUUGCAGGGGCCCCAAAGUUAGUUUCUAGGCCUUGGGUCUGUGGUGGGUGGCAGAGCACUUGCUAGUAUUCUCAAGUCCUUAGGUUUGAUCCCUGUACCACAAUCCUAGGCACAAGUCCUCUGUAACUAGAAGGUAAACAGAGGGCCAGGGGGACUCAGAGGGGAAAUGCUGAGCUCCAGCACAGGAGAAAAAGCCAAAUGGUAACACCCAGUUAGGUGGUUUGUGUUGCAGCUCAACUCCGUUGAUAAAAUAUUUGUCUAGCUUG